UACGGGGGGGGCAAGCGUUGUUCGGAAUUACUGGGCGUAAAGGGCUCGUAGGCGGCCAACUAAGUCAAACGUGAAAUCCCUCGGCUUAACCGGGGAACUGCGCUUGAUACUGGAUGGCUUGAGAUUGGGAGAGGGAUGCGGAAUUCCAGGUGUAGCGGUGAAAUGCGUAGAUAUCUGGAGGAACACCGGUGGCGAAGGCGGCAUCCUGGACCAUUACUGACACUGAAAAGCGAAAGCCAGGGGAGCAAACGGG
rnacentral:rRNA from 1 species